rnacentral:lncRNA from 10 species
CUGGGGGGUGCUGCGUCUCGGGGGGUGCUGCGCCUGGGUUUCCUGUUGUUCCACAGGCACUGAAGGUCCCAGGGCUGAUCUGUCCACCUGGAACCAGCUGGGGCUAUAGCCACACCGGGCUGUGCUCCAGCUUCUGAGGCCUCUGCUGGGGAGUCCCCGAGAGCCCUCUGAGCUCUGCCUUUCGCACGGUCUCUCUAGCAGGUGGAGAGGGGAUGCUGGUGGCUGAGAACCACUGCGGGGCGGGGUGGACAGUGUGAGCCUGGGCUCUCAACACCAGCCAUGCAUUUCGGCAUCCCUAAUUCUUUGUUUUGCCUUUAAUCUUUAUUAAAUUACUGUCGAAACUAACUCACUCUUCAUAAUUUUCACAAAGUAGUCUAGGUGAAAUAAAACAGACUUUGGAGCCAGAAGAAUCGAAAUAAAAUUCUCAUUUCCCAAUUACUUGCUGUGCUACCUGGUACAAAUGACUUGGCCUGUCUGAGCCUGUCUGCAUUUUUAAAAGGAAGUAACGACACCUGCCUCAUGAUACAGCUGAAAGGACUAAGUUAGAUGAAAUGUCUCUGGUCCUGAGCAGGGCACCAGUGGUGCCCACGGUGCCGGUUACUGGGGUGAGUGUCACUUGUGUUGAACUGAGCAGGGGGCCAAGCGCCAGUCCUGGGCUGUAUCUGUAUCUCCACGGAAGAUCAAAACGUGGGGGCCGAGGAGUCCUCUAUGGAUUGUUUCUUCUGAACAGAAACAGUGUGUGAAGUCAAGCGGGGGAGCCCUCCCUUUCCAGAAGCGAGUCAUUGAAGAAAUGCCCCUGUGCGGACUCCCCACACGUUAGCACUGGCGGCCAGGCCGGCCUCCCAUGGAGAGCCCCUCUUCAGAGCCACCUUGCCCCCAUUUCCCCCUCAACUGCUCAGCUCACUGGGGAGGAAGGCAGCGAAGUUGUAAAAACUUACUUUUUGGAAAAAUAAGAAUUAUGGGGAAGGACAUUAAUUUAAAAGCUUUUAAGGAGCCAAUUCACCUGUGAAAGUGCUCCCCAGGUGAGGGCCUUCCUGUGUGGAGAACAGCCCGGUCUUUAAAAGCAUUUUAAUUAAUGUUGCUGAGAAACACGCUGAUGGUAUUUAAGUCUGAAGAGCAAAGGUACCAGCCAAGAGUUUUAUGACGUGGUGCUAGUUCUCUUAAAGGCUGUUGAAAUAAUGUUCCCGUGCACUCAGCCUCCCCACUUAGUGCGGGUGGCGGCCAAGAGGAAGUGCUGGAAUCCUCGGUGGCCUAACCCCGGCCCUCAGGACAGAACAGAAGGCAGGCGGCCCCGGCCAGGACAUGCCCAGUGGAAUUUCAGAGGCACUUUCGGGAACACAGCGCCUUCGCACCUUCUGCUCGGUACACACCUCGAGGGGUGGCAGCCAGCUCUUGGCGGCCCACCCAGCACCCUGAAGCCUGAACUGCCUGGACUGUCGCUGAGCAAAUGCCAGGGCCCGAAGAGGACCUGGAAGAGGGCGGGUGAGGGGCUGCAGGCGUGUGGGGCCUGGAUGAUCCCAUCUUGACGACGAGCUGGGAACCGCAGACCGGUGUCAUCCUGGCUGGAGAUGGAGGUCUCUACAUGGCUCCCUGUGUGGCCAGACCACUGUGGCUGGACCAGAGUUUCCCGAUAGCCUCUGGGAAUGGCAGGGACAGUGGGGGAGGAGGUCCCAGGGGAUUUUAUUAACAGAAGGGGGGAGAGAGGGUAGAGAAAGGUAAUGGGAACAAGUAGCUGAAAAUAUGCCCUGGAGAGCAGGGGAGGAGGCUGAGCAGGCAACUUCAAAAGGGAUGGAAGAAAAUGGGGGCUGCGGAGAGUUGAAGAGUGACCCCAAAAGAUAUGUCCAUCCAGAACCUCAGAAUGUGACCUUGUUUGGAAUAAGGGCUUUUGAGGAUAUAAUUCAGCAGCCCGGGGGCACAGGCACGCAGAAGAGACUUUCCCACAGCGGUUCCCAGAGCCCUGGAUGAGGCGUCCUCCAAAGGAUUAUGUCACCAAGUUUCUGCAGGCCAGGCGGGUAAUCUUGCUUGUGGCCACACUCCUCUUCCUGGGACCUGAGCCUGCCCUCCUGCUCCUGAGUAGUUCAUUGUGAUGCUGUCUGCUGUGGCUGUGGAGUGCUACGCGCUGGCCAGCCUGAGGGCGACCUGUACCGCCUUGGCCAAACCCUUUACCCCACUGAGAGAUACCUCCCUCAUCUGCAGCGAGAGUCCCUACCUUGUAGGGCAGUGUGAAGGAUGUCCUGAGAUGGUCAGGACUUAGCACCCUGUAAGCACAAGAGCUGUUCUUGGUGGCGUUAUGAUCACACCCACAGAUAGGGCCUCAGGCAGGCCUCAGUGUCCUCCUGGCUGGCCACGUGCUACGGAUGUCCCCAUGCACUUGAUGUGUCAGCAGCAGAAGGACCUUCAGGAGGAGGCAACGAUGGGAUGAGACGAGGCUCAAAGGAGGAUGUUGCCGCGCAGAGACGUUUCGGGAAUAUGAGGCAGGUCACCACCUAUGAUUCUUGUGGUAGUGGAGGAAUGGUGGCGGCUGUCAUUGUGACACCCACUUUAGAGACAGGAAACUGAGCUUCAGAGAGGGGGAGUCCAGGCCCCACAGCACACAGCCAGGAAAGGGCCGGGCAGAAGGGGCUUUGGGUUUUAACCUAACUCACCCCGACUGCCUGCUUCUUCACCCAGCCAUCAUGGAACGUCUCUGUGCCUCUUCCCUGCUCUCGUGGAGGCCUGGGUCAGGCAGCUGCCCAGAGGCAGACGUGCACUGUGACCCUAGAAGACUGUUCCAGACAGGCCAGCCCAGGCAGAGACAAAACAGGGACCUGCUCCUCAUUGGUGUCACGACCAAAUGCAGGGGAUUUGCUAAGGGAGGCGCAGCCAUGAAUUGGGAGCCAGCUUCGUGCUCUGCCACUCCUUCUUGCUAAUCCCUCGAAAAUCCAAUCAGAGCUGUUUCCCUCCAUGAAACCAACUGGACACAGCACAUACUGGCCGGACCUCUGCCAGCAUGGAGUGGAUCUUUUUUCUGUUUAAAGAACCAGGUUUCAAAUGUUCUUAAUAAAACGUUUAUAUAUAUCAUGCAGGGUGCAAAUAAAUAUUUUAAUAUAAUUGGAAGAAUGUAGAGAAUUGUAAAAAGUUAUGGAAGUUUUACUUCUGAUUGGCCAAGACUCAAUAAACUCUGGUUUGAUGUACUCUAAUUUAUAGGCGUGCAAAGCCAACUCUUUGGCAUCAGAGAGGCCGUUAACGUUGUAAUGAUGUUUAAACGCUGACAAAUGAGCUGCUUGGGCGGCACCUUCAGCCCUGAGAAUGGAACUGUUGGAGCUGGAGGACUUGCCUGUCCCCAGCUUUCUCCCUUCCUCCCGUGCUGGUGGAGCAGGUUAAGGGCAGGAGGACUGUUCAUUGGGGCGACUGCUCCCCAUCGGUUGAGGGGAGGGCACAAAGGGGACCCAUGGCUUCUUUUUCACUGUUGUCCCUAAUUAUGGUCUUUCUCAUUAAAAUAACAAGGACCAUUUCUGCUAGAAACGCUGACACAUGUUUUUACUUUUCUGGGCCGAUGGAAACCACAUGUAGAAUCCAUUCCUUCCUUUUUUCCCUCCAAAAUGCAAAUGGAAGAGCUGGUCCAGGGGGUCCCCGGUUGCCCAGCCCUGAACAGAGGCUUGGGGAAGCCCCCUACUCCCACG